GCGGGGAUAGCUCAGUUGGGAGAGCGUCAGACUGAAGAUCUGAAGGUCGCCUGUUCGAUCCUCGCUCACCGCA
rfam:Nicotiana sylvestris Nsyl_contig77485, whole genome shotgun sequence.